rnacentral:rRNA from 1 species
GACGAACGCUGGCUGCGUGCUUAACACAUGCAAGUCGAACGGUAAGGCCCUUCGGGGUACACGAGUGGCGAACGGGUGAGUAACACGUGGUUGAUCUGCCCUGCACUUCGGGAUAAGCCUGGGAAACUGGGUCGAAUACCUGAUAGUACUACUGCCUGCAUGGGUGGGGGUGGAAAGCUUUUGCGGUGUGGAAUGGGCCGGCGGCCGUUCAGCUUGUUGGUGGGGUGAUGGCCUACCAAGGCGACGACGGGUAGCCGGCCUGAGAGGGUGACCGGCCACACUGGGACUGAGAUACGGCCCAGACUCCUACGGGAGGCAGCAGUGGGGAAUAUUGCACAAUGGGCGCAAGCCUGAUGCAGCGACGCCGCGUGAGGGAUGACGGCCUUCGGGUUGUAAACCUCUUUCAGCACCGACGAAGCGCAAGUGACGGUAGGUGCAGAAGAAGGACCGGCCAACUACGUGCCAGCCGCCGCUGUAA